AUUACUGUAUGAAUCAUCAUUGUUUACUUCUUGCAAUUUAUGCAGAUCAGAAGGGCAACUCUAAUACAUCCGGAAUGUCAUGUCCUUAAUUGUCGCUUCAUUAGAAGCUAAACGAUGAACCGAUCCGAACGAUGCUCUACCCACGGUCACAAAAUAGUCGACGUUACCCGGAAUCCAGAUCUUGACUAUCUAGCAGACAGUCUCAAAACUUUGAAAAUAUUCUACUGAUUAUCGUCGCUUCACUUCACCUGCUUCUGUCGAUGGUGAGCAUUUCCACAUAUGAUACCAAUCAAAAGCUCUGCGCCUAGCGCACGUCUUCUACGAGCGCUAAUUUAGCACUGAUGAUUAUGAGUCGUCAGCUACGUCAUCACCUAUUAGGGAAUAGAAAAUGAGAGUACUGAGCUUGUAUUGUACAAAAUUAUAAGUAGCUAGAUCCGGUUUGAGAAACACCUGUUGAUAACCGUUGUUAACAAAGCUGUAAAAAAGUGACAUAUAAAAUACUUGUAUAGUUUGCGUGUUGUUUUCAAACCAACGCGAAAGGAGAGCCGUAUGUUUGUACACAGUAACAGUGUUUUCCACCCUAUAUUCUU
rnacentral:lncRNA from 1 species